UCAGCUCAAUCUCGGAAUUUAUACAGUGGACAAUAAAUCUGAAUUCUCAAUCUUGGUUGAUUGUGCCGUUGGCGGAGCCGGCAUUGAAGAUGGAGAAGUAGAGCUAAUGCUUCAUAGGACUUACAAUCUUUGAUGACUCUAGAGGAGUUGGUGAAGCCCUUGAUGAGACAGUGUGCGCUGAAGGCCUCACGGUAUGAUAUCUUUGCUGUUUUUUUAAAGGCAUCCUGUUUGAUAUGUGGAAGGCAAUAUCCUUUAUCUAUAAACACGAAUGGCAAGGAAAAUCAGGUCCAUGCCUAUCAAAUAGAUAGCAUUAUGCCUAUUUAGACACCUUCGAAGAAUCAGAAUAAUUGGAAAGCUAUGAAACCACGACAUAAGGGCAAAAGUUCAACAUUUUUAUAUAACCCUCAUGAGAAUGUGAAUUAUUCUAUCUUUGUUAAGCGUACGAUAAUGACAUGAUAUGACAAGAAAUGCCCUAUUUUCUAACAUGUUA